rnacentral:rRNA from 1 species
CCUACGGGAGGCAACAGUGAGGAAUAUUGGUCAAUGGGCGAGAGCCUGAACCAGCCAAGUCGCGUGAAGGAUGACGGCCCUACGGGUUGUAAACUUCUUUUGUCAGGGAGCAAUUGGGUCCACGCGUGGGCUUAGCGAGAGUACCUGAAGAAAAAGCAUCGGCUAACUCCGUGCCAGCAGCCGCGGUAAUACGGAGGAUGCGAGCGUUAUCCGGAUUUAUUGGGUUUAAAGGGUGCGUAGGCGGAAUAUCAAGUCAGCGGUAAAAAUUCGGGGCUCAACCCCGUCGUGCCGUUGAAACUGAUGUUCUGGAGUGGGCGAGAAGUAUGCGGAAUGCGUGGUGUAGCGGUGAAAUGCAUAGAUAUCACGCAGAACUCCGAUUGCGAAGGCAGCAUACCGGCGCCCAACUGACGCUGAAGCACGAAAGCGUGGGUAUCGAACAGGAUUAGAUACCCCAGUAGUC